rnacentral:sRNA from 2 species
GGCGUUGAAGCCAGCCCCGUUUCAAGUCGCGGCGUCUGGCGGAGCCCAACGUGGGUUGCGUGGAAACCACAACUUGAAUAGGCCGUUGGCCGAACGAAAACACGC